rnacentral:ncRNA from 1 species
UAAGCCCCGCCUUGUGGGCUGGCCAUCCAGGGUAAGUCUGCCCAUAGGGCAGCGCCAGCCCACACCCGAAAGGGUGUAAGGCGGGGAGGAGGA